UCCGGUUGAUCCCGCCAGAGGUUACUGCUAUCGAGGUUCGACUAAGCCAUGCGAGUCGAAUGUAGCAAUACAUGGCGAACUGCUCAGUAACACGUGGACAACCUGCCCUUAGGUUGGGUAUAAACCCGGGAAACUGGGUAUAAUACCCGAUAGGUCUCGAUUGCUGGAAUGCAUCGAGAUUUAAAGCUCCGGCGCCUAAGGAUGGGUCUGCGGCCUAUCAGGUAGUAGUGGGUGUAGCGUACCUACUAGCCUACGACGGGUACGGGUUGUGAGAGCAAGAGCCCGGAGAUGGAUUCUGAGACACGAAUCCAGGCCCUACGGGGUGCAGCAGGCGCGAAAACUUUACAAUGCUGGCAACAGCGAUAAGGGAACCUCGAGUGCCAGGUUACAAAUCUGGCUGUCGAGAUGCCUAAAAAGCAUUUCAUAGCAAGGGCCGGGCAAGACCGGUGCCAGCCGCCGCGGUAACACCGGCGGCUCGAGUGGUAACCGUUAUUAUUGGG
rnacentral:rRNA from 1 species